ACGCCGAUCGCCGCAUGAGCCGAGCUAAAAACUCGGCCAAAACGGGAACGGACGUCGUCCGCAUGAAGCGUAGAACGCUCUUAUUUUCGGGGCAAAUAGAGGUCAGGGACCUCGUACCGCGUCGGUCUUCCGCAUCCGAGAGAUCGAGCAUAACGACAUGGGCCAAGAACCGGCAAGCGCACGGAUCGUGGAACACGGCGAAUGCUUCAUUGUCCACCCUAUACCGAAUCCCCGAAGGGCGCAGCACAAGGAGGAAGAGGGACAUUCGGACUACAACAUGCCUUCUCAACAGGUAUACAACACAGGAAACCAACGUCGGUCAAGGCAAUCCGCAACUUGAACCAACAAUUGAAGAGGCGUGCACGAGAUGCCGUCGCUGCCCGAGCAGGGAACCGACAUGCCCUUACAAGCCAUUCACCACUCACGCGCUCU
rnacentral:misc_RNA from 1 species